UGUAGCAGGGACGACCGAGAGGCAGCGCUCGGUGCCUGCAUCCUCGCCGGCGCCCCUGCCCUGCCUGGGGCGGGCGCCGCGUCCGAGGCGAGGCGGGGCGGAGCGGGAGCGGAUCCGCCGCGGCGGAGUCCAUGUCGCAGCUUGUGGCAGCCCCGCGUCCUGUGCGCACAUAGGACCCCUUUGUUCAGGCCGGGCCCGGCGGGGAGAGCGGCUCGGGCUGCGGCCGCGCCUCGCUAUUGGCUGCGCCCUGCCGCCCGACUGCUGCGGCCACAGCCGUGCCCGGCGCGGGCGGGCCGACGCCGCCGCCGCUGAUAAGCCCCACGAUGGGGAUGCCCCACCAGCAGCCUCCGGCCGGGCUCCGCCGCAGAGGGCCUCUCUGCAGGAGGAAGCAAGAUGGCUACCUCGUGGGCUCGGCCGUGAAGAAUGCGGAGCCGCACUGAGCGCGGCGCGGCGGGGACGGGGGCGCCGCGCUCGGCUCGGCGCGCGGGUCGUGGCCGCCGCAGCGGCGCCCAGGGGGAGCCGGAUGGGUGUCCCCGGCCUGGCAGCUGGGGCGUAGCACUGGGCGAGCCUUGCUAACUGCAACGUGUUCUGCAAUUUGAUGUCUUCUAGGUUCUGACUGAAAACAAAAGGCCUCAGAGGAGAAAGCAAAGAGUUCUCAAGCACAGGCUGGUUUCUUGAUCUCUACUGGUUGUGAACAUAGGGGCCUGCCUUCUGCACCUAGCCGGGUCUUCCUGCACCCAGUCUGCCAGCUGCAAAAGUUUGUUCUCUCCCAGUGUGCGGGAUGUUCCCUUUCUCCCUCGGGAUCAUUUAAUACAUGUGCCAGUGUAAAAUGUCAGUGUGGGGGGACACACAGGCUGGGUAACCUCAGGACCUGUCAAACGUAUUACAUGGACUUCUCAUAAAAAGGGGAAGUUGCUGAAAUGUGAAUAUUUUGUAUUAAGUAUGUCAGACAUCUUAAUGGGAAUUACAGACUGGAUGCAUUUCUGACAGUUUGCAGUCACUAGAUGAGGAUGCUGUUUUUAAUACGUUCAUACAGAGACAUUUAUGUCACUGAUAUUUUUUAGAAGGGCCAGUACUCAGAGCAGUGAAUCUCGGACUCUUAAAAUGAAAAGCUAUUUUAAGUAUCUCACUUAAUGCUUUUAUGUUUGUUCCCUACAAAGUUUCCCAUACAACGCACAGAUUUUUUUUGCAAUUUCUAAUCCAUUACCAAAAAGUUAUAAAUAGAAAUAUUUAUGCAGGUAUUCUGAUCUUAGGUUAAAACUAUAAAUUAUUGGAAGUAGACUGUAAAAACUAAGUUCCUAUAAAUGGGAGUGAAAGGAACACCUGCAGGCAUGCUGUUUCAUUAAAUACACUUUUAACUGAGAACACUUUUAACUCAUGUGCACCAUCAGUGUGAGAAUCUUAUUGUUUCUUUAAAUAUUUUAUCACUGUGUAUAGCUUAACAAUGUUGAGAAUUGAGAAAUUUAGGAAAAUUACAGUAUUCUAAUAAUACAGCAUAAUGAACUGGAAUGGUUUUAAAUGUAAAGUUAACUUAUUUUUCUUAUUAACAGUUUAACUACGUCAUCAGAAACUAACUUGCAUAAAUAUGAUUUAUUCAGUAACAGAAAUUAAAUGCUAAGAUUAAUAAAAUAUUUGAAGAAUAUUUGGUUGGAAAUGCAUCCGGAUUUUGCUUAAUAAUGGAAUAGUUGCACGUGCAAUUUAAAACAUCUAUUUUAUCUUUGAUAAUGGUAACAAUGGUGGUACAGUACCAGCAAAUGUCCCAUCUUUUCUUCAUUUAACUGAUCCAUAUGUUUUAAAAUUAACAUUUUGUCAAGUCAGACUCAUAUUUUAGUAUUCUUUUUAGUAAGUGCUUCUUUUGUAGCACAGCAGAUAGGCCCAGUUAAAACUUUUCUUAAUUGUACAAAAUACAAAAUACAUGAUCUUGACUCUAAUAGUAAAGACAUGUUACAUUGCAGUGUGUAAAAUGUUUCUCUGGUGACAGUGAAGCCUAUCCAUAAGUGAAUUGUUCAGUUGUGUAAUAUUUAAUUGGUAUGACAAGUCAUACCAUUGUUGUCAAAGUGUGAAAAGUACAGAAAUCUCUGUUUUUUGUCAAAGGCAGAUAGAUUCUAUCAAACAUCUGCCCAGGCUAGGGCUUCAAAGUGUGCUUAAGAAUUUAUCUCGUGCCUAUUUGUCACUCUGGCUUCUUAAUUUGGUGGCAGGCUUCUAUAUAGCAUGUUGUUUCUACCAUCUCUUAUCUUUCAUACAAGUGUAUGCAGAGUUUUUUCAUGCUUGUUUUCUAGUAAAAAGUCUAUUUGUUUAAUAAACUGAGGAAGGUUUUUUUCUUCCAUACUAUCAUAUGUUAGGCAUUGGAGUAGCAAAUAUAUUUGUUUUGUUCCUUCUUUUGAUUCUUUUGUACAGUUGUUCUCUGGUUUUCCACAAUGUUCUUUGUGUACUCUAAUUUUAUUCAUAAUUUUUGGUGUUGAAUGUACAUAUGGUAGAAAUUGUUACUGAUCAGCCAACUUAUUUCCGAGUAUUUUGUCCUCAAAUUUUAUACUAAAAGUAUUUUUUUAGUUCUUUUAAUUAGACUCUAUUUUCUGUCAGCUGCAGUAAAUAUUUUGCAAUGAAGCAUACAUCAUUUACAGUUUACAUUCAAAGGGCCUUUUAAAGAUCUGGCAUUCUGGUUAUAGUUCUUUGUAAUCCUUCUUUUGUAUUUGGUGGCACUUGACCUGCCACGAUGAACUAUAUUGCAGUAAUAUCUUUUGAAUUAUAGCUCCUAGUUUUUUAUUCAGUUAUCAGUCACAGAAGUGUAAAUUUGUAAAUGACACUUAACCCAAUAAUUAUUCCGCUAGCAGUUUAAGGGAUUUGUUUGUGAUGUGAUCCUACCUGUAAUAGUAAAGUAAACUCUCCCAUAAAAGAUAAUUUGUAGUUUCUGCUUGUACUCAGGGGAAAAAUACAGCUAACAUUUUAAAUUCUCAUUGGAUGUUAUUGAAAUUUAGUUCUUGCGUGUAUGUAUGUAUGUAAGUAUAGUUAAGGUAAAUAUGUUAUUAGGUGACUCCAUAUACUUGGAAGUAUCGUUUGGUUAAAUGUAUUAGGAUUAUUAGUUUUUUAAUGUUAUUCUAUCUGAUAGAAAGUAUUUUUUUUUAAAUAAGCAUAUGCUUUCUAGCUGAAUAUAAAUUGCAGUGCUAUACGUGUUAACUUCAUGUGUAGAAUAUAUCAUUAACCUGCGGUUUUGAUGGUUUUACUAUUUCUGUAUCUUACUUCUUCAGACAACAAGAAUGUAGUAUCAUUUAGAAUAUCCACCUUAACAUGCCUAAUAUUCUGUUAUGUUUUUCAUAAAUGUACAGAUAUUUUUGAAAAGAUAGCCAAAAUAUUUGCCUGUAAAUUCCAGCAAAUAAUUUAUUGAAGGAAAAAUAAGUUUGCUCUUAUGAGGGGAGGUGCUUAGGUUCAAAGAGAGACCAUUUAGUUUCCCUUGCAAACAUUGUUUGCUGUCUUCUGUACUGGGGGAGUAGAUACCUUUUGGAUUUUAUUUGAUAUGAAAAAAAAAGUACAGGCAACCCCCACUUAGCGCUCUUAACUGGUUCCUGAAAAACCAAGUGUUAAGUGGAAUAGCAUUAAGCAAAACCUGCUGCCAGCUGUACAAUGCCCUGAGCAUUAUAACAAAACUCACUGUGUGCUAAGUGGAAUUGGGUGUCAGUGUAAAAUGAGCGUUAUAGCGAAAUAGCGCUAAGUGAAACAAUGUUAAGCAGGGGUUGCCUGUAUAUGCAAGAAAAGUUGGUACUUGUUAUGGAGUUCAUUUAUUCGCAUCUUCAACACAUAGAAGUAUGAAAGAGCUUGUGUCUCUGUUUGUCUCCCUCCCUCUCUCUCUCUCUCAAUGGCAUUUGUCACGCACUUAGUGUAUAGUGCUUCCCUUCUUAACAACGUGGAAAUGCUUACAGUCACACUUAAGUGAACACAGAGAUCAGAAGAAUCAAAUGGUUACAUGUGGCAUCAGUAUUGUCAGAGAGAUCUACAGUUAUCAAUAUAGAUAGUAGUGGGACCAAUCAGAAAAUCACCCUCAGACCAAGAUACAGCUGAGGAAGUAGUACAGUCCCAGGGUCUUUCUGCCAGGUUCUAUGGUCCCGAGAUUGUUUUCAGUGGCUACAGAUGUUUGCUACAUUGAUGGAGGUAAUAAAAGAAGAGUCUGAGAGAGAUCUACAGUUCAUACAAGAAUCAACAAUAACUUACAGAGUGCUAAGUGAGUAUUUCAACUGCAUGCAUAUACUUUGUGAUUGGUUAUGUUCAUACGUUUAUUUAUAACCACCAUGUAUAUCCUCUCUCUGUGUCUAGAAAUUAAAAGCAAAUUAUGCUAAAUUCUGUAAAAUCAGUUCAAUCCAAGUUAAACCAAAAGCAAAAGAUGGCUCAAUAUCUAUUCUUUUGAUUUGUUUGUAAAUAUGAUGUCAUAUUUGUAAUUAAUAAACGUCAUAUUUUUAAUAAAAGAUGUUUGUUUUAAAUGCAGUCAAAUUGAAGGGUUCUCUUUUCCCUUUGCAUGCAUUAACUGCCCGAGUGCCUUUUUAAAACCAGUUUUUAAAUAUGAAGAUAAAAGGUAGCACUAAAGGCUUCCUGUCAGCCAUAGUUACAAUACAGUUUUAUCUGUGAUGGUUUAAAAGUGAUUUGCCAGGGAAUGGAAACCAAAGCCCUGAGGUAAGUGGGGAAGUGGGUGACCAGGUGACCUGGAGGAAGCACAAGCAGGAGGGGGCAACAGGGAGGGCCUUUUCAUUCUUCCUGUUACAGGGCAGUUAGCUGGUUAUCUUCCGGGUCUGUACAUGAAUGUAUGGAGCCUGGGACAUGAGCAGGAAGAAUUGCAAGUCCUCGCAGUCACAGAACUAUGACAUGGUUGGAAUAACAGAGGCUUGGGAUAGCACACAUGACUGGAGCACUGUCAUGGAUGGGUGUAAACUGUUCAGGAAGGACAGACAGGGGAGAAGAGGAGAAGUUGUGCUUUAUGAAGAAGAGCUGUAUGACUGCUCAGAGCUCCAGUGUGAAACUGAAGGUAGGCCUGUCAAAAGUCUCUGGGUUAAGGUCAGAGGGGAGAGCAACAAGGGUGAUGGCAUAGUGGCAGUCUGCUAUAGGCCACCAGACCAGCAGGAUUAGGUGGAUUAGACUUUAUUUAAAAAGCUAGUGGAAGUUUCUCCAUCACAGGCUCUGGUUCUCAUGGGGGACUUCAAUCACCCUGACAUCUGGCAAUAUAGCAGUGUAUGGGCGAUCCAGGAAGUUUCUGGAGAGUGUUGGGGACAACUUCCUAGUGCAAAUGUUGGAGAGACCAACUAGGAGAUGUGCUCUUCUUGACCUGCUGCUCUCAAACGGAAGAAUUGGUGGACAGUGUAAGAAGUGGAUGGCAACUUGUCUGCAAGCAGCCCUUAUGGUCACUGCUACCCAUUAAACAAAAAGCAAAAAAGCCUGGCACUUUACUUUAAACUCCACACGCUCCUAAGCCAAAAGCCCAGCACAUGCCCAGAAGAGGUAGCAUGUUAGUUGGAAUUGGCUCGCCUGACAUCUGUAUUGAUUGGGCACUUCAGUGGUGCUUUUUUGGCACUUUUACCCAAUAGCUGAUUGACUCAGCUUUAGAUAAAAGUGACAAAAAGCCCUGCUGAAGUGCCUGGUUUAUGCAAACGCUGCAAAGCUGUAUCACUGUAAUACACUGCUGUAGAGCACUGGUAAAGCACUUUUUUUUUUUUAACAUCUGUAAGCAGCCAAAAUGAUUGAGUUCAGGAUCCUGAGGAAAGGAAAAAAGGAGAGCAGCAGAGUAAGGACCCUGGAUUUCAGACAAGCAGACUUUGAAUCUGGCAGGGAACUCAUGGGCAGGAUCCUCUGGGAGGCCAGUUUGAGAGGGAAAGGAGUCCAGGAGAGCUAAUUGUAUUUUAAAGAAACUUUACUGAGGGCACAGGAAUGAACCAACCCUGUUCACAGAAAGAAUAGCAAGUAUGGUAGAAGACCAGCUUGGGUUAGCAGGGAACUCUUCAGUAAGAUCAGGGAAAGUGUGGGUCCCGUACUGAAUGGGGGAGGCAACCUAGUGACAGAGGUUGCAGAAAAGGCUGAAGUACUUAAUCCCUUUUUCACCUCAGUCUUUACAGGCAAGGUCAGCACCUAGACUACUGCAGCUAGGAGCACAGUUUGGGGAAGAGGUAAGCAGCCUGCAGUUGUAACAGUCUGCUAUUGUAAAAAAAAAAGCUAACUAUACUGGGCUGCAUUAGUAGGAGUGUUGCCAGCAGAUCAAGAGAGUGAUUACUCCCCUCUAUUGUGCACUGGUGAGGCCAUAUUUGGAGUACCAUGUCCAGUUUUGGGCCCCUCACUAUAGAAAAGAUGUAGACAAAUUGGAGAGAGCCCAGUGGAGGGCAAUGAAAAUGGUUAGGGGCUGAGGAACAUGACUUAUGAGGAGAGGCUGAGGAAACUCGGCUUAUUUAGUCUGGAGAAGAGAAGACUUGAAAGGGGAUUUAAUAGCAGCCUUCAACUACCAGAAGCUUGGUUCCAAAAAGGAUGGAACUAGACUGUUCUCAGUGGUAGCGGAUGACAGAACAAGGAGCAAUGGUCUCAAGUUGCAGCAAGGGAAGUUUAGGUUAGAUUUUAGGAAAAUCUUUCUCAUUGGGUGGGUAGUAAAGCACUGGAACAGAUUACCCAGAGGGAUUGUAGAAUCUCCAUUGCUGGAGGUUUUUAAGACCUGGCUAGACCCUGGCUGGGAUAAUCCCUUGAGAUCCCUUCCAAUCCUAAUUUUCAAUGAUUCUAUGAUACAUAUAUGAGUUUAUACAAAUGUUAACAGAAGGCAAGAAAAACAACUGUUAAUGAAUAUGGCCAUGUUUUUAAUGAGCUUGGAUUGAACUGAUCUUAGGCCAUUUGUUCAAACUCAUGAUACAUGGUAUACGUUUUUAGUGCAGAAUGUCUGCCAAAAUAUAUAGUUGAAAGUAAUUAAUUUUUAUUACUUUUUUUUAUAAGAGAUCAAGUCAAUGGAAAGUGUUCCAGUGUCAUGAAAUCUUGCUGAGGAAGAAGAUAAAGUGGUGCUACAUGUAUUGGAAGUUAUACAGUCCAGAACAUGACCACCAGACACUUUGUUUUUAAAAGGACACUGUAAAUUUGAAAUCUAGCCAAAUAAAGAGAAUAUUUGUAAAAAUAUG